rnacentral:rRNA from 1 species
UACGGAGGGUGCAAGCGUUGUUCGGAUUUAUUGGGCGUAAAGCGUGCGUAGGCGGUUGGCUAAGUCAGAUGUGAAAGCCCUGGGCUCAACCUGGGAAUGGCAUUUGAAACUGGCGAGCUAGAGUGUGAUAGAGGAUGGCGGAAUUCCCGGUGUAGCGGUGAAAUGCGUAGAGAUGUGGAGGAACACCGAUGGCGAAGGCAGCCUUCUGGGCCAAUACUGACGCUCAUGCACGAAAGCGUGGGGAGCAAACAGG